rnacentral:rRNA from 1 species
CCUACGGGUGGCAGCAGUAGGGAAUAUUGCUCAAUGGGGGAAACCCUGAUGCAGCGACGCCGCGUGAGUGAAGAAGUAAUUCGUUAUGUAAAGCUCUAUCAGCCGGGGAGAAAAUGACGGUACCUGAGUAAGAAGCCCCGGCUAACUACGUGCCAGCAGCCGCGGUAAUACGUAGGGGGCAAGCGUUAUCCGGAAGUACUGGGUGUAAAGGGGGCGUAGACGGCAGUGCAGGUCUGGAGGGAAAGGCGGGGGCUCAACCCCCGGACUGCUCUUGAAACUGUACGGCUGGAGUGCAGGAGAGGUAAGUGGAAUGCCUGGUGUAGCGGUGAAAUGCGUAGAUAUCAGGCGGAACACCAGUGGCGAAGGCGGCUUACCGGCCUGUAACUGACGUUGAGGCACGAAAGCGUGGGGAGCAAACAGGAUUAGAUACCCGGGUAGUC